CUACGGGUGGCUCCAGUGGGGAAUAUUGCACAAUGGAGGAAACUCUGAUACAGCAACGCCGCGUGGAGGAUGACACUUUUCGGAGCGUAAACUCCUUUUAUAUAGGAAGAAGAUGACGGUACUAUAUGAAUAAGCGCCGGCUAACUCCGUGCCAGCAGCGCGCGGUAAUACGGAGGGCGCAAGCGUUACUCGGAAUCACUGGGCGUAAAGAGCGUGUAGGCGGAUUAAAAAGUCAGAAGUGAAAUCCUAUAGCUUAACUAUAGAACUGCAUCUGAAACUCUUAAUCUAGAAUAUGGGAGAGGUAGAUGGAAUUUCUGGUGUAGGGGUAAAAUCCGUAGAGAUCAGAAGGAAUACCGAUUGCGAAGGCGAUCUACUAGAACAUUAUUGACGCUGAGACGCGAAAGCGUGGGGAGCAAACAGGAUUAGAUACCCGCGUAGUC
rnacentral:rRNA from 1 species